UGCACCUGAGUCCGACAUCGUAGAAGGACCAUUUUUGCAUCAGAUUGGAUUUUGCACCUGAGUCCGACAUCGUAGAAGGACCAUUUUUGCAUCAGAUUGUAAGUAUUAAAUUUCUUUAUCAUUUUCCUAAAUAACAUUUAUGAAUAUCUUACAAAUUGACCCUUAAAAUUGCAUUUUUAUGCUUCGAAGGACUAAUUUUUACUUGUUUUAGGGAUUUUGCACCUGAGUCCGACAUCGUAGAAGGACCAUUUUUGCAUCAGAUUGGAUUUUGCACCUGAGUCCGACAUCGUAGAAGGACCAUUUUUGCAUCAGAUUGUAAGUAUUAAAUUUCUUUAUCAUUUUCCUAAAUAACAUUUAUGAAUAUCUUACAAAUUGACCCUUAAAAUUGCAUUUUUAUGCUUCGAAGGACUAAUUUUUACUUGUUUUAGGGAUUUUGCACCUGAGUCCGACAUCGUAGAAGGACCAUUUUUGCAUC